GCCUCCUUUGACGCCAACUUUCUCCAUGCUCAAGAGAUUUUUGUAUGAGAUCUUUCCAUACCAAAGAGGUCUUCUCUCUCCCUUUCUCACAUCCAAAUUUGAUUUGAUUUUGAUAAAAAAAAAUUUGAAAUUAGAUUUCAAAAUAUUCCUUAUUAAGAGAAUCUGUUCUUAUCCAAAUCACUCCACACGCCAACUUAUUUUUUCUCCUUAUG
rnacentral:lncRNA from 1 species